rnacentral:tRNA from 1 species
UGGGGUAUAGUAUAACUGGUAUUACGCUUUGCUUAUCCGCAGAGAGAUAUGGGUUCAAAUCCCAUCCCCCAA